UUUCCUUGCCGGCGACCGGCGCACGGGUGAGUAACACGUAUGCAACCUGCCCUCUUCAGGGGGACAACCUUCCGAAAGGGAGGCUAAUCCCGCGUAUAUCGGUUUCGGGCAUCCGAGAUCGAGGAAAGAUUCAUCGGAAGAGGAUGGGCAUGCGGCGCAUUAGCUAGACGGCGGGGUAACGGCCCACCGUGGCGACGGUGCGUAGGGGUUCUGAGAGGAAGGUCCCCCCCACUGGUACUGAGACACGGACCAGACUCCUACGGAAGGCAGCAG
rnacentral:rRNA from 1 species